rnacentral:rRNA from 1 species
CGUGAGUGAUGAAGGCUUUCGAGUCGUAAAGCUCUGUUAGGUGGAAAGAAACAUUCCAACGCUAAUAUCGUUGGAACUUGACGGUACCACCAGAGGAAGCACCGGCUAACUCCGUGCCAGCAGCCGCGGUAAUACGGAGGGUGCAAGCGUUGUUCGGAAUUACUGGGCGUAAAGGGCGCGUAGGCGGUUAGGCAAGUCAGGUGUGAAAUCCCUUGGCUCAACCAAGGAAGUGCGCUUGAAACUGCUUAACUAGAGUACAGGAGGGGAAAGUGGAAUUCCCAGUGUAGAGGUGAAAUUCAUAGAUAUUGGGAGGAACACCGGUAGCGAAGGCGGCUUUCUGGCCUGAUACUGACGCUGAGACGCGAAAGCGUGGGGAGCAAACAGGAUUAGAUACCCUGGUAGUCCACGCUGUAAACGAUGUGCACUAGGUGUAGGAAGUGUUGACCCUUUCUGUGCCGAAGCUAACGCAUUAA